rnacentral:rRNA from 1 species
ACUCCUACGGGAGGCAGCAGUGGGGAAUAUUGGACAAUGGGGGCAACCCUGAUCCAGCAAUGCCGCGUGUGUGAAGAAGGCCUGAGGGUUGUAAAGCACUUUCAGUGGGGAGGAGGAUUGAUUGGUUAAGAGCUGAUUAAUUGGACGUUACCUACAGAAGAAGCACCGGCUAACUCCGUGCCAGCAGCCGCGGUAAUACGGAGGGUGCGAGCGUUAAUCGGAAUGACUGGGCGUAAAGGGUGCGUAGGUGGUUAGAUAAGUUGUUGGUGAAAUCUCCGGGCUUAACCUUGGGUUGACGAACAAUACUGUCUGACUGGAGUACAGGAGAGGGUAGUGGAAUUUCCGGUGUAGCGGUGAAAUGCGUAGAGAUCGGAAGGAACACCAGUUGCGAAGGCGGCUACCUGGCCUGUUACUGACACUGAGGCACGAAAGCGUGGGGAGCAAACAGGAUUAGAUACCCUGGUAGUCCACGCUGUAAACGAUGUCAACUAGCUGUUUUUCAUAUAGAGAUGAGAAGUGGCGUAGCUAACGCGAUAAGUUGACCGCCUGGGGAGUACGGUCGCAAGAUUAAAACUC